AUCAAGAUGAGAUCUGAUUAGCUGCUUUGGAUAACUCUAAAACAUGCACUUCUCCCUAGGCUUGGAUAACUUGCAGGGGUCACUGUGGCAACCAGGUAGGUGACAAGAGAGGCUUGCAUGUGCUCGGCUGUGUCAGAUGACAGCUCUGGUCUGAUGAAGGUGGAACUGUCACUUCUUGAACUUCAAGAGAAACACAGAAGAGGAGGCGAACGCUUUGGCUCUGCUACAUUCCCUCGACCUGCAUUCUUGGGCCCAUUAUGAACAGGAACUUCUGAAAGUGUAAGCCGACACGUAUCUUCCUCUUUGUAAGCUGCAGGCCAGACGGUGGUGUUGGCAGAAGCCCCUCCAAUGUGUUUGUUUCUCUUGAGGUCGGACGUGCUCAGCGAGCCCUCUUAAGUAUGAACAGACCACAGACCCAACCUGUCCCAGGGCUGAAGCACAAAUGUCAAAGGCGUGAAAACAGGAGUCUGGAGAUUGGAGGCCAUUCGCCUCUGACACUCUCAGGAACUGGGCCUCCAGCCUGGGUGAAGAGCUGACUGGAGGGGAAAAGCGGGAGGGAGGUGGGAAGCACGGCAAAAAUGAUUGGCGUGGCAGUUAAGUGUUGCAUAAUAUACCCAGUACAAGAUCCAGGCCUACUUAAAGGUCUGAAUUUUGAAGGAAAACAGAUCAUGAUUUGUAACCAGGCUUGGAUACAUGCGUCAUUUAUAACACUGCGCAGGAGGUCUAAGCGCGCACCUCUUUUACCAUGGGGUGUGUGCUGCUCAUGAGACCCUCAUUAACCUCAAGCGGGAUGGAGGACGCGCCGUGAGUGGCCACCAGAGACUAUCAGGAGAAGAUGUAAACAGUAAGCAAGCCCUGAGCAAGCCCAGUUGUUUGCGUAUCCCGUCAGCAACAUAUUUCUGAACUGUUUGCAAGUUUCUUCCAAAUUCUUAAGAUUUUUCAAAGACUUGGGUGGGCCAACAUUCUUCCCAGACCUUGCUGGCAACUAGCUUUACAUUUGUAGAGUUGGGCAAUUUGUUGAUAAAAAUCAAAAGCCUUGAGCAGAUGCAUAUAUUUAACUUAGAAAUUUCAAUUUCAUUAGCCCAAGGGGGGAAAAUCAGAGAUAUAAGCCCCAAAUUAAUGUAAAAUAUGUGUUAUAUCUCCCUAGUACAUUAUAGUGCUACUUGUGGUAGUAAAAUACUCCCACAGAGUUCAACACAGAACCUUGGGAUUCGUCCACUUAGUCACACACUUUUACAGCUAUUAGAAUUCUUUGUUCUAAAGUUGUAACACAAGCACGAGAGUCGUAGAAAGCACAAAAUGCUUGCAGAGAGCAAGAGUAUGACACAUCUGACAAUUGUGCACAUAAUGGGGGAAACCACUGCCCGGACAGUUUUUUUGACACACUAAAGCAUAAAAUUGAGAUCUUUUAAGAGUAUGAUCAUACAGUGGAAACGGCAACUGUGGAAGCUAUGAGGACAAGAACCCUUAGGUAAGACCCUGGAUUUAUUGUCCGGGUCAUUAUGAACGUACACAUGAGCUCAGUGAAAUUCCAUAAAGAGACAGCAGACCUGCAGUGGUAACAAUUUAGUAGCUAAUUUUAAAAUAUUUCUAAAAAAUGCUAGCAAUUAAAUUCCUUAAAAUAAUGAACCACAUAUUGUUUGGAUGAAUUCAUCCGAGUCUGACUCCUAUCUCACAGUUUAAACAGUCAGUCAAUCAUGAUUUUCAUAUUUUGGCAGGACAAUGUUCAUGACUUUAAGGAAAAAAAAUUCUAGGAAGUGUCUUUGAGACCUUACUAUAAGAGGCAAAUGCCAUGAACUUGAGAAAAUCAUUAAAUAAACAGUUUUUACUAAUUGAUUGGAAAAGAAAUUACUGGGUUUUAGUAGAAGAGCAGUUCAACCAAAGCAUGGAUGACUCUUAACUUUUUCUACCCCCCCUCUCUCUCUGUCUCUCUCACACACACACACACACACACACACUCACACACACACACACGACACAAUCAUGAAUCAGGAAAUAACUCCCUAUCUUUUACAGCUCAUUUAGAUAUUUGCUAAAUUUUAUUUUAUUUUAUUUUUCAUACAGGCUAUCUAAGUACAGUGUAUAAAAACCCUGGUACCAGAAGUAUUGUCAUCCUUUAAGGCUCCCAACUGCUUGUUCUUUGUGGGUUUUGGCCAAUUACCAAAGAAUCAUUUGGUAGGUGUGUAG